rnacentral:tRNA from 1 species
AGGGAUUUAGCUUAGUGGCAUAAGCACCUGCCUUGCAAGCGCGUGGUCAUGAGUUCAAUCCCUG